UACGUAGAGGGCUAGCGUUGUCCGGAAUCAUUGGGCGUAAAGCGCGCGUAGGCGGCCCGGUAAGUCCGUUGUGAAAGUCAAAGGCUCAACCUUUGAAAGCCGAUGGAUACUGCCGGGCUGGAGUCCGGAAGAGGCGAGUGGAAUUCCUGGUGUAGCGGUGGAAUGCGCAGAUAUCAGGAGGAACACCAAUAGCGAAGGCAGCUCGCUGGGACGGUACUGACGCUGAGGCGCGAAAGCGUGGGGAGCGAACAGG
rnacentral:rRNA from 1 species